rnacentral:rRNA from 1 species
UACGUAGGGUGCGAGCGUUGUCCGGAAUUAUUGGGCGUAAAGAGCUCGUAGGCGGUGUGUCACGUCGGCCGUGAACACCUGCAGCUUAACUGUGGGCGUGCGGUCGAUACGGGCAUCACUGGAGUUCGGCAGGGGAGACUGGAAUUCCUGGUGUAGCGGUGAAAUGCGCAGAUAUCAGGAGGAACACCGGUGGCGAAGGCGGGUCUCUGGGCCGAUACUGACGCUGAGGAGCGAAAGCGUGGGGAGCAAACAGG